AUUGACGUGGUGCAUAAUAACGUCCGAUAGGCUAUGUAAAUUCCUGUACACUGAUUACACACUUACAGCGGCGUAACGUUUCACGUCUUUGCCAUCUGUGUCUAUAGUGACCUCCCCCUAAGAAAGUAGGAACGUAAAAUUGGUCGAAUUUAAGGUGAUGUGAGACUGAGAGGAUUCACCGAUAAAAAUAAGAUAUCUAAAAUAAUGUGCUUCUAGAUAAUAUAAUUAAAGAGUGAGUUUAAACAGUUUUGAUCUUUACGACGUAAAUUAUUAAUCUCAAUUAUGAGAAUCAUUGAGUGUAUUCAAAUUUUGCUUUCCAGUUUUCUGGAGACGCCAAUUUUAAUAACGAUAAAUCAUAA